CCACCCCAUGUUCUUCCUUCAUCGCAUCUCCUUCUUCAUUGUGUAAUUGUCCCGUCUACAUAAGAGUUCAAUCUCAACCUAGUUGCUUUAAUUGUUUCAACAUUUGUUUCAAAUUGCUUCAAGCUUCUCAUAAUCAUGGACCACAAAUCAAUUGAGAACAUUUUCUCCUUUGAAUAAAAGCCAUCCAAUGCUUUUUAUUUUUUCUUUGAAUGCACUUGGAAGAUCCCAGACAACGAUGGCCUCUUACUUCGAUAUACACCUUUCUAUAUGUAAACACCACUGGACGCUUACUCACUUACUCAGCCACCUGCCAUUGCUACAAAAACCAAGGUUUUGACGUUCAAUUUUGGAUUCCGGCUUGAAUUUUACUAGAAGAAAAAUAGUAAAUCCCGUUUGACAUCUGUAAGUUUCUCAAAAUCCAUAUUGAUGCAAAAUCAAUUUAACGCUUUCUAAAGUCUUAAUUAAAAACUUUUUAAGAAGCUUUUAUGAUUCAUAGCAAGAAAUCAGUAAUCUUGAUUUGUAAUUUUCCCCCUUUAUCACAAAUGUCUAUAAUUAAGGAUGUUGAUUGCAUUUCCAAACGAAUUCAAACAAAAUUAGGGUUA